UACAGAGGGUGCGAGCGUUAAUCGGAAUUACUGGGCGUAAAGCGUGUGUAGACGGCUAUCUAAGUCGGGUGUGAAAGCCCCGGGCUCAACCUGGGAAUUGCAUUCGAGACUGAAUAGCUAGGGUACGGUAGAGGGAAGCGGAAUUUCCGGUGUAGCGGUGAAAUGCGUAGAUAUCGGAAGGAACAUCAGUGGCGAAAGCGGCUUCCUGGACCAGUACCGACGUUCAGGCACGAAAGCGUGGGGAGCAAACAGG
rnacentral:rRNA from 1 species